UUAAAGAGUUCUAUAACUCCCAAACCCAUGUGAACAUACCUAACGUUGCCUCGGCAGGUCGCACCUACCUUGUAGCACCCUACCCUGUAGGGCCUACCCGGGAGGUGCGGGUAAGCCUGCCGGCGGCCCACCAAACUCUGUUUGAUAUUGAAUUCUGAACCUAUAACUAAAUAAGUUAAAACUUUCAACAACGGAUCUCUUGGUUCUGGCAUCGAUGAAGAACGCAGCGAAAUGCGAUAAGUAAUGUGAAUUGCAGAAUUCAGUGAAUCAUCGAAUCUUUGAACGCAUAUUGCGCCCAUUAGUAUUCUAGUGGGCAGGACCGUUCGAGCGUCAUUUCAACCCUUAAGCCUUCGUUGCUUAGUGUUGGGAGCCUACGGCAACGUAGCUCCUCAAAGUUAGUGGCGGAGUUGGUUCACACUCUAGACGUAGUAAUUUUUUAUCUCGCCUAUUAGUUGGACUAAUCCCCUGCCGUAAAACCCCCAAUUUAUCAAGGUUGACCUCGAAUCGGUUCAGACAAACUCGCUAAAUUGAAGCAUCUUAGUCAGCGAAGGAAA
rnacentral:rRNA from 1 species